CCUACGGGAGGCAGCAGUGGGAAUUUUCCGCAAUGGGCGAAAGCCUGACGGAGUGACGCCGCGUGUGGGAUGAAGGCCUUCGGGUCGUAAACCACUGUCAGUGGGAAAGAUGGGUGUCGGCGCGAUAACCGCCGGCGCCUGACGGUACCUGCAGAGG
rnacentral:rRNA from 1 species